rnacentral:rRNA from 1 species
ACUCCUACGGGAGGCAGCAGUGGGGAAUAUUGCACAAUGGGCGCAAGCCUGAUGCAGCCAUGCCGCGUGUGUGAAGAAGGCCUUCGGGUUGUAAAGCACUUUCAGUCGUGAGGAAGGUGAGUUGUUAAGUUAAUAGCUGCAUUAUUUUGACGUUAGCGACAGAAGAAGCACCGGCUAACUCCGUGCCAGCAGCCGCGGUAAUACGGAGGGUGCGAGCGUUAAUCGGAAUUACUGGGCGUAAAGCGCAUGCAGGUGGUUUGUUAAGUCAGAUGUGAAAGCCCGGGGCUCAACCUCGGAA